GAGACAGCAGCAGCCGCGGGAAUACGGAGGAUCCAAGCGUUAUCCGGAUUUAUUGGGUUUAAAGGGUGCGUAGGUGGCCUGUUAAGUCAGGGGUGAAAGACGGUAGCUUAACUAUCGCAGUGCCUUUGAUACUGACGGGCUUGAAUACACUAGAGGUAGACGGAAUGUGACAAGUAGCGGUGAAAUGCAUAGAUAUGUCACAGAACACCAAUUGCGAAGGCAGCUUACUAUGGUGUUAUUGACACUGAGGCACGAAAGCGUGGGGAUCAAACAGGAUUAGAUACCCCUGUAGUCCCUGUCUCUUAUAC
rnacentral:rRNA from 1 species